rnacentral:rRNA from 1 species
CCCGGUUGAUCCUGCCAGUAGCAUAUGCUUUUCUCAAAGAUUAAGCCAUGCAUGUGUAAGUACACAUGGCCGGUACAGUGAAACUGCGAAUGGCUCAUUAAAUCAGUUAUGGUUCUUUUGAUCGCUCCAUCUGUUACUUAGCUAACUGUGGUAAUUCUAUAGGUAAUGCAUGCCAACUAGCACUGACCUACCGGGAUGCAUGCAUUUAUCAGACCAAAACCAAUCCAGGCUGGCCCGUCCACUUUAGUGACUCGAGAUACCCUCAGGCCCAUUGCAUGUCCCAGUGAAAGUGAUGAUACAUUCAGAUGUCUGCCCUAUCAGUUUUUGAUGGUACUUUCUGUGCCUACCAUGGUGAUAGUGGGUAAAUGGGAAUCAGGGUUUGAUUCCGGGGAGGCAGCCUGAGAACCGGCUACCACAUCCGAGGAAGGCAUCAGACACGCAAGUUACCCACUCCCCACUUGGGGAGGUAGUGAUGAAAAAUAACAAUACAGGACUCUUUCGAGGCCCUGUAAUUGGAAUGAGUACACUUGAAAAAAUGUAAUGAGGAUCCAUUGGAGGGCAAAUCUGGUGCCAGCAGCCACAGUAAUUCCAGCUCCAAUAGCGUACAUUAAAGUUGCUGCAGUGAAAUAUCUCGUAGUUGGAUUUUGUGAUCGAGCUGGCGCUCUGCCAUAAAUAAAUCUACUGUCUGUCCCAGCCCCUGCCUCUCGACGCCCUCUUGAUGCUCUUGACUGAGUGUCCUCGGGGUCCUUAAUGUUUGCUUUGAAAGAAUAUAAGUGUUCAAAGCAGGCUGAACACCUGAAUACUGUGGUUCUAUUUUGUUUGUUUGGUCAGAACUGGGGCCAUGAUUAAGAGGGCCGUGUGGGGGCAUUCAUAUUGUGCCGCUAGAGGUGAACUUCUUGGACUGGCGCAUGACGCAAGAUGAACCAAUCCAAAGCCAUUUGCCAAUAAUGUUUUCAUUAAUCUAAAACAAAGUUAGAGCUUUGAAGACUAUCAGAUAACGUUGUAAUUCUAACCAUAAAUGAUGCCGACUAGCGAUCCGCCAGCAUUAUUCCCAUGACCCGCCAAUCAGCUUGCAGGAAAACAAACUCUUUGGGUUCUGGGGGAAGUAUGGUUGCAAAACUGAAACUUAAAGGAAUUGACAGAAGGCCACCACCAGGAGUGGAGUCUGUGGCCUAAUUUGACUCAACAUGGGAAACCUCACCUGGCCUGGACACGGAAAGGUUUGACAGGUUGAUAGAUCUUUCUCAAUUUUGUGGGUGGUGGUGCAUGGCCAUUCUUUGUUGGUGGAGUGAUUUGUCUGGUUAAUUCUGAUAAUGAACAAUACUCCUCCAUUCUAACUAGUUAUGUGACCCCCUGCGGUUGGCGGUCAACUUCUUAGAAGGAUAAGUGAUGUUCAGGCCACACGACAUUGAGCAAUAACAGGACUGUAAUGCCUUUAAAUGUCUGGGGCUGUAUGUGUGCUACUCUGAAUCUAUCAGCAUGCGUCUAUUCUUCUCUGACAGGUGUGGGCAACCCACUGAACCCUGUUUGUGAUAGAGAUUGAGGAUUGCAAUUAUUUCCCAUGAACAAGGAAUUCCCAGUUAGUGCAGGUCAUAAGCCUGCGUUGAUUAACUCCCCGCCCUUUGUAAACAGCCCCUUCUCUUCUACUGAUUGGAUGAUUAGGGAGGUCUUUGAAUCUUCCCCGCCAGGGUUGGCAACGGCCCUGGUGGAGCGUUGAGAAGAUGAUCAAACUUGACUAUCUAGAGGAAGUAAAAGUCAUAACAAGGUUUCCGUAGGUGAACCCACGGUAG